GAGGUGAGAGCUUCCACCAGCAGAGCGUCAUCCACCCAGCCGCCAUCACCUUUGGACCCUGAUGAACUGGAGCUGGCAGCUGCUGCGGGAGGGUCCCUGUCCUGUGGAGGUUUCUGUGAUGUACGGAUCGCUGUCCACAGCAGCCCCCUGUCAAGCCACGGUGCUGGGUAGCUGGAAGGUUCUUGUAGACGGCACGGCUGUAUGGAAUAAAACACAGACCCAGCUGAAGGUGACGAGCAAGCCGGCAGUACGCAGCCAAGGCCAGAACCAGGAGUGGAGUCACUAGCAAGAAACCCACAACCAGCAGAGCCACACAGCCACCGUCAGUCAGUAGAUCCGAACAGUAUGGUGAUGAACCGUGCGGGCGCACCUGAAAAGACAGACAUUUGAUUGGUGUGGACCUGUGUGGGGUCAAGGAUGAGUGGUGGAAUGCUUGUAGGCAUUGCUGAGGAGAGUCAAAGAGAAAUGAAGUGUCCCUGGAGGAACACCAUCUCUGAGGUGUGGACAGACGAAGAACAGACACACUGGACAAGAAUGUCUACCAACAGCAUAUGCUUGUUUUCUUUAGUGAGUUGAUCGUUUGUUACUUCUAAGCUGUUUGAACUCUCAUUCUGACGGCACACAUUCACUGCAGAGGAUCCACUGGUGAUGUA